rnacentral:rRNA from 1 species
AUUGAACGCUGGCGGCAGGCUUAACACAUGCAAGUCGAGCGAGUGGCGGACGGGUGAGUAAUGUCUGGGAAACUGCCUGAUGGCGGGGGAUAACUACUGGAAAUGGUAGCUAAUACCGCAUACCAUCAGAUCCGCCCAUAUGGGAUUAGCUAGUAGGUGGGGUAAUGGCUCACCUAGGCGACGAUCCCUAGCUGGUAUGAGAGGAAGACCAGCCACACUGGGACUGAGACACGGACCAGACUCCUACGGGAGGCAGCAGUGGGGAAUAUUGCACAAUGGGGGCAAGCCUGAUGCAGCCAUGCCGCGUGUGUGAAGAAGGCCUUCGGGUUGUAAAGCACUUUCAGCGGGGAGGCGUUACCUGCAGAAGAAGCACCGGCUAACUCCGUGCCAGCAGCCGCGGUAAUAC